CGGAAGUAGUUCAGUGGUAGAACAUCACCUUGCCAAGGUGAGGGUCGCGGGUUCGAAUCCCGUCUUCCG
rnacentral:tRNA from 1 species